UUAAAGAACAUGAGCAAUUGUAGAUCAUUUUCUUGUUUUGAAUGAGCAAUACAAGCAAAGAAAUUCAAUGAUCUGACGCUUUUCAAUAAAAACAACCAGAAUAUAAAUCAAGCGAAUUUGCGAAUAGACAAUGAAUAGCUGACUGAAGACUAGUUUUGCCUUACUUACCAUUAACCGCCUGGAGAAAAUGUCAGGUUAUUCAAAACACUCAGAGGUGUAUGGAUGUGGCAACAAUUCGAACCGUGCAGAUAUUGAACAAGGGCAAAACGGACUAUCUCCUUCGGCGCCACUGGAUUACUUUGGAGACUACACGCCGUACCCAUCAGAAUACGGACCACCACCUCCGCCGCCUCCACGUGGCUACGGAUGCUACCCGAUUCAUGCGAAUACAGUAAUGAUUCCAUGGCAAAACAAAAACUGGGAAGCAAGAGUACCACAUUGCAGUGCCCCCACUGCCAGGCUACGGUGACCUCCCAAGUCCACUACAGGACCAGCUCUGGUACCUGGGCAAUCUGCAUGGCCGUACUACUUGCAGGCCUCCUCUUUACAUGCUUAUUCCUUAUUGGAUUCAUUUUGUUGUUCCUGUGCUGGAUUCCAUUCUGUGUCAAAGAGUGCAAGGAUGCUGUGCAUACAUGUCCCAAAUGUCACAAAACUGUCGGAGAGAGCUCGUUUUCGAUUUUCAGCUGAAGUUUCUUUUAACUAAUUGAUUCUGUUGUUGACUGAAAUUUAAGAUUUGGUUAA